rnacentral:rRNA from 1 species
UACGGAGGGUGCAAGCGUUACUCGGAAUCACUGGGCGUAAAGAGCGCGUAGGCGGGAUAGCAAGUCAGAUGUGAAAUCCUAUGGCUUAACCAUAGAACUGCAUUUGAAACUGUUAUUCUAGAGUAUGGGAGAGGUAGGUGGAAUUCUUGGUGUAGGGGUAAAAUCCGUAGAUAUCAGAUGGAACACCAAUGGCGAAGGCAGUCUUCUGGAUCAUUGCUGACACUGAGGGACGAAAGCGUGGGUAGCAAACAGA